rnacentral:rRNA from 1 species
UACGUAUGGGGCAAGCGUUGUCCGGAAUUAUUGGGCGUAAAGAGCGUGUAGGCGGCCAGAUAAGUCCGCUGUGAAAUCUCGAGGCUCAACUUCGAGCUGUCGGUGGAAACUAUCUGGCUAGAGUCCGGAAGAGGAGAAUGGAAUUCCUGGUGUAGCGGUGAAAUGCGCAGAUAUCAGGAAGAACACCCGUGGCGAAGGCGGUUCUCUGGGACGGUACUGACGCUGAGACGCGAAAGCGUGGGGAGCGAACAGG